rnacentral:rRNA from 1 species
GCUCAUUACAACAGCUAUAAUUUACUUGAUCUUGACAAUCCUACUUGGAUAACUGUGGUAAUUCUAGAGCUAAUACAUGCACCAAAGCUCCGAUCCUCGCGGAGAGGAGCGCAUUUGUUCGCCACAAAACCAAGCGCCCUUCUGGGCGUCCAGUGCUGAACCAGAACAACUCAGCUGAUCGCACGGUCUUGCACCGGCGACGUGUCUUUCAAGUGUCUGCCUUAUCAACUUUCGAUGGUAGUGUACCUGACUACCAUGGUUGUGACGGGUAACGGAGGAUAAGGGUUCGACUCUGGAGAAGGGGCCUGAGAAAUGGCCACUACGUCUAAGGAUGGCAGCAGGCGCGCAAAUUACCCACUCUCAACGCGAGGAGGUAGUGACGAGAAAUAACAAGACCGUUCUCUUAUGAGGCCGGCUAUUGGAAUGGGUACAAUUUAAACCCUUUAACGAGUAUCUAUGAGAGGGCAAGUCUGGUGCCAGCAGCCGCGGUAAUUCCAGCU